rnacentral:lncRNA from 1 species
UGGUACCAACAAAAUUGAGAAACUGAUAUAUUAUAAAACUAGAUUGUCACAUUGACUACAAAUGUGCAACAUGAAAUAUAUUUCAAUAAAAAAUAUUUUGUGGUAUACAAUGGUCAAAAGAAACCAAAUUUUAAAAAGGUCACACAAGAAAAGGCCAACAUAGUAGAUCAUCUGCAAAUUUGCCAAAAUUGCAACCCAUGGGAAAGCAUGGAUCCUGGAAAAAUAUUACAAAAAUAAUAUUAGACAUAAGAAAAGUCAAAUUUUCAAAUGUCCCAGAUAGCAGCAAAGUUAAGACCAUCUCAGAUUCAAAAAGAAUGCUGAUUCAAUAUAGCUGUUUUAAAAAAAAAAUUAGAAGAUGCAUCACUUACAAUUUUCUUAACUAUUUCAUGGAGAGAAUGCAAAAUCUUUAUCAUGCUGGAAGAGUCCCUAACAACCACAAUGUUAAUAAAAGUUAUUGGUAUGAAAAUUUUAUAUUUGUGUUUGUCAGUAUGUCUAAAGAAACAACUGAUAGGGUGGAACGUCAAUUGUAAAUGUACUUUGUUAUUUAGGCAUAAUUAGUGUUUGUUGGAUGCGAGAGACUUCUUUUUCUAAUAUUUCCAAAGAAUCUAUGUUUACAAGAAUUACUAAUUGCCAAAACAGAAGCAAAAGUUUCUCUGCUUGCAUUAUAAACAUUUGAAGUUAACAUUCUGCUAUUAUCAGCAAAUGACUAUGAUACUAACAUGCAAAUUUCACCAUUAAAUAUCAAAGCCCUGGUGAAAUUCUUAUAAAGUGAGUUCUCCAUGCAAGCAUAUGUUAAUGCUCAAUCUCCAUCCAAUACAAAAAAUUAAGGAAAAACAAGGGCCACAGUCGGUUGAUAAAUGAUCCAUAUAGAUCCUAAUUUCCUGAAGAUACAUAACUACUCUUAGAUAUAGUUCCAAUAUAUGUUAGCAUAAAAUCUGUAAUAUGCUAUAUUAAAUACAGAAAUAUUUUUUUUAUGUCAGGAUUGAAAUCAAAUAAUAUUAGAUCUAGCUUUACGAUGUGUAUCUUUUGAUGCCAUUUGAAAAGGGAUAUCUAUGUGAUCUGUAAAGGCAUCGUCUUUAGAUCCAAGAUCGUUGUCAUUCUGUAAAGAAAAUUAGAUCAUUCUCCUCUCUUUCUAUCCUUGCACAGGACUAACUAUUUUUUCAUGAGAUGCGUAACUUGCAGAGUAGAGGAUCUAUGAUAAGUUUUUAGGAAAAUUCCUCUCAUCAAAAACAUCCCAUAACUAAUCCUACUUUAAUAUGAAUUUCUUUUCUAUUAGUUAAUAUCUAUCAUCAGAAUCUAAUUAGUUCCAUUAUAUAUCUUAUCCAAUUAUAAAUAAUCACAAAAUCUAACAAACUACUCUUAGAUAUAGUUCCAAUAUAUUUCGAUUUGUCUUCAGCUACUUAAAUUCCUCGCAGUUUUUUCUUUCAUUCAUCAUCAUGCUAUGAUUUUAUAUUUAGUGUUUAAUAUUUUAGACGGAAAUCCUGAUAAAUUCUGGAAAAAAAAAAGGAAGCGAAAAAGCACCCUCAAUGUGGUUCUUCCAGUAUUCCUAUUAGAGCUAAAACUGCUACUUGCCAAUGUAGUGAACUACCAUGUUUCAGCUCAAAUAAGUUCUGAAACAUUUUGCAGGCAAAGUAAGCAACAAUAAACCUCCCGACACAUCAUUUACCUCAUUCGGUUCAGAUUUCAUAUAGAACUAUCAAAUCUUCCUAAUAUACCUAAUUUUACCCAACUGCAUUGAGCAGAAGAAAACUUGCAAGCUAUGACUGCUUCUCAUCACAUGCCGCAUGGGUGAACUUUUAAUAUACAUAAGACGCCCUGCCUUUUAAGGCAGAUAAACGAAGCUACUAUAUCUUCUCUUUCAUGUUCUUCUUCGUUUAUACCUCCUUUACGAAUCAAUUCUCCAGCACCACAUGAUCAGCAUCUAACCGCCCAAGACAGAGAAUGUAACCUUCCGACAGUAAUGAAGACAUAAAGAACACCUAAGCUCGAACAUAUUCCCAAUUCCAGCAUGAAAAGCUGGGUAUUCGACCGUGCACAAAAGCCAAAUCACCCUUCCCUUGCAUACAAAGAAAAGAACCACCGAUUAUCCCAGCGAGAUUUCCACAUCAAGAAUCCCGAAAACAACAAUGCAUCCGUUCUUCUAAAUCCAAACGUCCAAGAACCGACUCAUCGUCGAAACCCAAGAGUGGACGUCGGGUUUAGAAAGACGGAGGGAACGAGGCAGCGAUCGAUGCAAGAUUCGACGAUGACCGAUCGAACUUUUCCGGAAAAUGUUCGAGAAACAUCCACAAAGAAAGACAGAAGGAAGGAAGGAUAAAAAAGGGAUUCGAGGAGAUGGAAUACGUUCCACUUGGCAAAAGGAGCGCCGCCUCGCCUCUCCUCUCAUCGUUCUCUUGCUGCUCUUCUGGGUCGGGUGGAGAGACUCGAUCCCUUGGAGAACGGGCGGUGGUCUGUUGGAGGAGAUGGGUUUUAAACGGCGUCAAUACCACGAUGUCUUGUGGCUAAUUUGUUGCGCUCGACCAAACUCACUCGCGCCGUUUGCAAACGAAGAUUUCGUUAUUAUUAUAUUCUAUUUAUUAUAGGUAACAUUAUAUACAGUAUAUCUAAAAACUCGUUACUUAUUCU